AUUGAACGCUGGCGGCAUGCCUUACACAUGCAAGUCGAACGGCAGCACGGGAGCUUGCUCCUGGUGGCGAGUGGCGAACGGGUGAGUAAUACAUCGGAACGUACCCUGAAGUGGGGGAUAACGUAGUGAAAGUUACGCUAAUACCGCAUAUUCUGUGAGCAGGAAAGAGGGGGAUCGCAAGACCUCUUGCUUUAGGAGCGGCCGAUGUCGGAUUAGCUAGUUGGUGAGGUAAAGGCUCACCAAGGCGACGAUCCGUAGCGGGUCUGAGAGGAUGAUCCGCCACACUGGGACUGAGACACGGCCCAGACUCCUACGGGAGGCAGCAGUGGGGAAUUUGGACAAAUGGGCGCAAGCCUGAUCCAGCCAUGCCGCGUGAGU
rnacentral:rRNA from 1 species